GACAGAGGUGGCAAGCGUUGCUCGGAGUUACUGGGCAUAAAGGGCGCGUAGGCGGUCGUGCACGUCAGGGGUGAAAUCCCCGGGCUUAACCCGGGAACUGCCUUUGAUACGGCGCGACUCGAGUGCGGGAGGGGAGAGUGGAACUCCUGGUGGAGCGGUGAAAUGCGUAGAUAUCAGGAGGAACGCCGGUGGCGAAAGCGACUCUCUGGUCCGCAACUGACGCUGAGGCGCGAAAGCUAGGGGAGCAAACGGG
rnacentral:rRNA from 2 species